rnacentral:misc_RNA from 1 species
AAUCACUCCACCUAAGCUCCCUUUUCAGCUCCUUAUCCUCUCCCUUGAUCACUCACAAAUUCUAAAAACCAUCUCUUCCUUCUUCUUCUUCUUUGUAUCAUUUUCUUGAAAAAUAAUACUCUUAGAAAGAACACCAUGUCUCUAACUAUUCCAACAAGCCUUUCAAAACCCAUUUCCACAUCUAAAUUUGGGUCUCAAUUUACCACAAAACAAAGAACUUCAGCCAUUGUGUGUUGUUCAAACCAAACCCCUGUUUCUAAUUCAACAGAGGAAAGUUCUUCUUCAUUAAAGGCAUUCUCUGCAGCACUUGCUUUGUCUUCUAUUCUUUUGUCAGCACCAGUUCUUCCAGCUUCUGCUGACAUCUCUGGGCUUACACCUUGCAAGGACUCAAAACAGUUUGCUAAAAGGGAGAAGCAACAGAUCAAGAAGCUUCAAAAUUCUUUGAAACUUUAUGCACCUGAUAGCGCCCCUGCACUUGCUAUCAAUGCCACUAUUGAGAAAACUAAACGCAGGUUUGACAACUAUGGAAAGCAAGGACUGUUGUGUGGAUCAGAUGGACUACCGCAUUUGAUAGUGAGUG